rfam:Triticum aestivum genome assembly, contig: Triticum_aestivum_CS42_TGACv1_scaffold_222396_3B
UUAGUACUCCCUCCAUCCCAAAAUUAUUGUCUUAAAUUUGUCUAAAUACGGAUGUAUCUAGUUACAUUUUAGUGCUAAAUACAUCCGUAUCUAAACAAUUGUAAGACAAGAAUUUUGGGACGGAGGGAAUACUAC